GACAGUGUGGCCGAGUGGUCUAAGGCGUAUGACUCGAACUAAAGCGAAAUCAUAUAUCUUCGGAUGCGUGUGUUCAAAUCACACCGCUGUCG
rnacentral:tRNA from 2 species